rnacentral:rRNA from 1 species
UACGAAGGGAGCUAGCGUUGUUCGGAAUCACUGGGCGUAAAGCGCACGUAGGCGGAUGUGUCAGUCAGGGGUGAAAUCCUGGAGCUCAACUCCAGAACUGCCUUUGAUACUGAGAGGCUUGAGUCCGGGAGAGGUGAGUGGAACUGCGAGUGUAGAGGUGAAAUUCGUAGAUAUUCGCAAGAACACCAGUGGCGAAGGCGGCUCACUGGCCCGGUACUGACGCUGAGGUGCGAAAGCGUGGGGAGCAAACAGG